GGGUGUGUGGUGUAGUGGUUAAGGUGUUGGACUGAAAUUCAAGAUGUCUAGGUUCUGUUCCCUACUCAGCCA